GAUGAACGCGUGGCGGCGUGCCUAACACAUGCAAGUCGAACGGACGAUUUUUUGGAAAGACUCUUCGGAACUGGAAUCUAAAUGUUAGUGGCGGACGGGUGAGUAACGCGUGAGCAAUCUGCCUUUCAGAGGGGGAUAACAGCCGGAAACGGCUGCUAAUACCGCAUAAGCGCACAGUGCCGCAUGGCAGUGUGUGAAAAACUCCGGUGGUAUGAGAUGGAUCCGCGUCUGAUUAGCCAGUUGGCGGGGUAACGGCCCACCAAAGCGACGAUCAGUAGCCGGCCUGAGAGGGCGACCGGCCACAUUGGGACUGAGACACGGCCCAA
rnacentral:rRNA from 1 species